rnacentral:lncRNA from 10 species
CACUGACCUCUAUUGUGUCCUGGCUAUGGGUCUGUCAGCAGCACACAGAGAACCCUGGCAUAUCCAAAUGUGGGUCUGGAGUACACUGCAGCCUCAACCUCCUGCGAUCAGGUGAUCUUCCUGCCUCAGUCUCCCAUGUAGCUGGAACUAUAGGUGCACGCCACCACGCCUGGCUAAUUUUUUGUUUUAUUUUUCAAUUUUUUUUUAAAUAAAGAGACAGGGUAUCACUAUGUUGCCCAGGCUGGCCUUGAACUCCUAAGCUCAAGUGAUCCUCCGCCUAGGCCUCCCAAAGUUCUAGGAUUACAGCCACCAUGCCCAGCCAAGUGUUUUGAUUUUUUUGUAGAGACUGAUCUUAUUAUGUUGGUCAGGCUGGUCUCGAGCUCCUGGGCUCAAGCAAUCCUCCCGUCUCGGCCUUCCAAAGUGCUAAGAUUAUAGGUGUGACCCACUGCAACCGGCCUGACUAUAGUUAACAAUAAUAUAUAGUUCCAAGUAGCUAGAAAGGGGAUAUUGAAUGUUCCUAACACAAAGAAAUGCUAAAUGUUUGAGAUGAUGGAUAUGCUAAUCACCCUGACCUUAUCACUGUACCUUAUAUGUAUCACAUCGCUAUGGAC